GACGAACGCUGGCGGCGUGCCUAAUACAUGCAAGUUGAGCGCUGAAGGUUGGUACUUGUCCCAACUGGCUGAGCAGCGAACGGGUGAGUAACGCGUGGGGAAUCUGCCUUUGAGCGGGGGACAACAUUUGGAAACGAAUGCUAAUACCGCAUAAAAACUUUAAACACAAGUUUUAAGUUUGAAAGAUGCAAUUGCAUCACUCAAAGAUGAUCCCGCGUUGUAUUAGCUAGUUGGUGAGGUAAAGGCUCACCAAGGCGAUGAUACAUAGCCGACCUGAGAGGGUGAUCGGCCACAUUGGGACUGAGACACGGCCCAAACUCCUACGGGAGGCAGCAGUAGGGAAUCUUCGGCAAUGGACGAAAGUCUGACCGAGCAACGCCGCGUGAGUGAAGAAGGGUUUCGGAUCGUAAAACUCUGUUGGUAGAGAAGAACGUUGGUGAGAGUGGAAAGCUCAUCAAGUGACGGUAACUACCCAGAAAGGGACGGCUAACUACGUG
rnacentral:rRNA from 1 species